rnacentral:rRNA from 1 species
ACAUGCGUAUAGCAUAGCGUUAAUGCACCAAAUCCCAUUAGAACUUUUUAGUUAAUCAUACUUGGGCUAGAGUAGUACUGGGAUGGGUGAUCGUCGAGGAAGUCCUAUUGUUUUACAUGCC